AACGAACGCUGGCGGCGUGUCUAAUACAUGCAAGUCGAACGAGAAAGUCUGACUUCGGUUGGAUAAGUAAAGUGGCGAACGGGUGAGUAACACGUGGAUAAUCUGCCCCUAAGUUUGGGAUAAGCCUGGGAAACUGGGUCUAAUACCGAAUAAUAUCUUUAGAGGCAUCAUUUUUAGAUCAAAGGCGGGGUAACCUGCCGCUUAAGGAUGAAUCCNCNCUCCAUUANCUUGUUGGUAGGGNAACGGCCUACCANGGCUGCGAUGGAUA
rnacentral:rRNA from 1 species